GGGCUAUCUGCAGUCGAGCGACAGAAAAGGAGCUUGCUCCUUUGACGUUAGCGGCGGACGGGUGAGUAACACGUGGGCAACCUACCUUAUAGUUUGGGAUAACUCCGGGAAACCGGGGCUAAUACCGAAUAAUCUAUUUCACUUCAUGGUGAAAUACUGAAAGACGGUCUCGGCUGUCGCUAUAAGAUGGGCCCGCGGCGCAUUAGCUAGUUGGUGAGGUAACGGCUCACCAAGGCGACGAUGCGUAGCCGACCUGAGAGGGUGAUCGGCCACACUGGGACUGAGACACGGCCCAGACUCCUACGGGAGGCAGCAGUAGGGAAUCUUCCACAAUGGGCGAAAGCCUGAUGGAGCAACGCCGCGUGAGUGAAGAAGGUUUUCGGAUCGUAAAACUCUGUUGUAAGGGAAGAACAAGUACAGUAGUAACUGGUUGUACCUUGACGGUACCUUAUUAGAAAGCCACGGCUAACUACGUGCCAGCAGCCGCGGUAAUACGUAGGUGGCAAGCGUUGUCCGGAAUUAUUGGCCGUAUAGCGCGGGCAGGCGGUCCUUUA
rnacentral:rRNA from 1 species